rnacentral:ncRNA from 2 species
AUUUAAUAUAAUACUGUAAGUGUUGGAUGAUAAUUUAUAUAUUGUUCAUGCGUAAGAGGAAAACAGGUGAAAAUCCUGUACUGUCCCGCAACUGUAUGCGAGGAGUUCUGAUUUAUUAGAUCCACUGAAAGAAAUUUUGGGAAGGAAAAUUAGAGCUGUGAUACGUGAGUCAGAAAACCUGCUUAGAGUUAGAUUUAUUG